GAUGAAGAACGUAGCGAAAUGCGAUACGUAGUGUGAAUUGCAGAAUUCAGUGAAUCAUCGAAUCUUUGAACGCACAUUGCACCUCUCGGUAUUCCGGGAGGUAUGCCUGUUCGAGCGUCAUUUGUACCCUCAAGCUCUGCUUGGUGUUGGGUGUUUGUUCCGCCUCUGUGUGUGAACUCGCCUCAAAACAAUUGGCAGCCGGCGUACUUGUUUCGGAGCGCAGCACAUUUUGCGAUCCAGAUCAACGUACAGCGGCAUCCAAGAAGCCUUAUUUAACGCUCUUGACCUCGGAUCAGGUAGGGAUACCCGCUGAACUUAAGCAUAUCAAAAGCGGAGGA
rnacentral:misc_RNA from 1 species